rnacentral:rRNA from 1 species
UUCCGGUUGAUCCUGCCGGAGGUCACUGCUAUUGGGAUUCGACUAAGCCAUGCGAGUCGCGAGGGUUCGGCCCUCGGCUGACGGCUCAGUAACACGCGGAUAAUCUGCCCUUAGGUGGAGGAUAACCUCGGGAAACUGAGAAUAAGACUCCAUAGAUCUAGGAGGCUGGAAUGCACUUAGAUUUAAAACUUCGGUGCCUAAGGAUGAGUCUGCGGACUAUCAGGUAGUAGUCAGGGUAAUGACCUGACCAGCCUAUGACGGAUACGGGUUGUGAGAGCAAUAACCCGGAGAUGAUAUCUGAGACACGAUAUCAGGCCCUACGGGGCGCASSAGGCGCGAAAACUUCACACUGUGCGAAAGCACGAUGAGGGAAUCCCAAGUGCUGGCUCGUAAGAGUCAGCUGUUUUUCUGUCUAGAAAACAGAGAGAGUAAGAGCUGGGUAAGACGGGUGCCAGCCGCCGCGGUAAUACCUGCAGCUCAAGUGGUGGCCGCUAUUAUUGGGCCUAAAACGUUCGUAGCCGGUCUAGUAAAUGCCUGGGUAAAUCAUACGGCUUAACCGUAUGAAUUCCGGGUAGACUGCUGGACUUGGGACUGGGAGGGGCUAGAGGUACUCCUGGGGUAGAGGUGAAAUUCUGUAAUCCUAGGGGGACGACCAGUGGCGAAGGCGUCUAGCUAGAACAGGUCUGACGGUGAGGAACGAAGCCCUGGGGCGCAAACGGGAUUAGAUACCCCGGUAGUCCAGGGUGUAAACGCUGCUUGCUUGAUGUUAGUCGGGCUCCGAGCCCGAUUUAGUGUCGGAGAGAAGUUGUUAAGCAAGCUGCCUGGGGAGCACGGCCGCAAGACUGAAACUUAAAGGAAUUGGCGGG